rnacentral:rRNA from 1 species
UACGAAGGGGGGCUAGCGUUGCUCGGAAUCACUGGGCGUAAAGGGUGCGUAGGCGGGUCUUUAAGUCAGGGGUGAAAUCCUGGAGCUCAACUCCAGAACUGCCUUUGAUACUGAGGAUCUUGAGUUCGGGAGAGGUGAGUGGAACUCCGAGUGUAGAGGUGAAAUUCGUAGAUAUUCGGAAGAACACCAGUGGCGAAGGCGGCUCACUGGUCCGGUACUGACGCUGAGGUGCGAAAGCGUGGGGGAGCAAACAGG